UGGGGAAUUUUCCGCAAUGGGCGAAAGCCUGACGGAGCAAUGCCGCGUGGAGGUGGAAGGCCUGCGGGUCGUCAACUUCUUUUCUCGGAGAAGAAACAAUGACGGUAUCUGAGGAAUAAGCAUCGGCUAACUCUGUGCCAG
rnacentral:rRNA from 1 species